rnacentral:tRNA from 1 species
GGUUGUGGCUCAGCGGUAGAGCGCUUGUCUAGCAUGUGUGGGGCCCUGGGUUCAAUCCUCAGCACCA